rnacentral:rRNA from 1 species
UACGGAGGGUGCAAGCGUUAUCCGGAUUCACUGGGUUUAAAGGGUGCGUAGGCGGGCAGGUAAGUCCGUGGUGAAAUCCCUUGGCUUAACCAAGGAAGUGCACUCGAUACUGUGUCGCUUGAGUGCCGGAGGGGAUGGCGGAAUUCCCGGUGUAGAGGUGAAAUUCGUAGAUAUCGGGAGGAACACCUGUGGCGAAGGCGGCCAUCUGGACGGUCACUGACACUGAGACGCGAAAGCGUGGGUAGCAAACAGG